rnacentral:lncRNA from 1 species
AUUCAAACAGGCUACUGCUAUUAAGGAUUGCACAACUUCUGGGCAAGGCAGAGAGGAGACAGAGACGUCAUUGCUUCACCCAGGGCAAGAGGACAAAGGAGGAUGCAUGGAAAUACAAACAGCCCUUCUCCUCCAGGCCAUACCGACUGUCCAACUAGCAACAGACUUCACCUGGUUUUGGAGCAAUCUGAAUUUGGAAUAUGCCAGAGAAAACUUCUAUCAGGCAAGAUGGAAGACUCCUAGGAUAGGUCUCUCUCAUGGAGGGAUUGAGUUUGCCUCGGCCUGCUGGUUGAGGACUUUAAUCCAGAUAGGAAUC